UAUCCACAUACAUUUUCUCAUUAGAAAGGGAAUAUUCUCUAUCAUAGAAGGUUUUACAAGACAGUUUUUCUUUUUUAAAGAUUUAUUUUAUUUAUUUGAAAGAGUUACAGAGAGAGGUAGAGACAAAGAGAGAGGUCUUCCAUCCACGGGUUCACUCCUCAGAUGGCUGCAAUGGCCAGAGCUGCACCGAUCCAAAGCCAGGAGCCAGGAGCUUCUUCCAGGUCUCCCACGCGGAUGCAGGGGCCCAGGGACUUGGGCCAUCUUCCACUGCUAUCCCAGGCCACAGCAGAGAGCUGGUUCAGAAGAGGAGCAGCCGGAACUAGAACCUUUGCCCAUUUGGAAUGCCGGUGCUUCAGGCCAGGGCUUUAACCUGCUGUGCCACAGCGCCAGCCCCAGUUUUUCAAUUUUCACAUUUACUUAUAGACAAGACAAAGGGACUUUUUCUCCCCUCAAAAUCUAGUUUUUCUGUCAUUAAAAACAUUUAUUGUGGGCUUGCUAAGGUCAGAACUUAAAAUAAUGAUCUAAUCAUCAUAGCAAUUCCCUUUCACAGGUAACAAAGCAGAAAAGCCAGGAUGUCAUGGUGGCAGCAGCUCCUGAAAGCCUGGGCUCCUAAUUUUCUCCUCUAAAUGCCUGUGCCAGGUGCUCUAACAGAGCAUGGAAGAACUAUUGGGAACAGAUGCUAUACCAUUUACUAUAUUCUCACCUUUUCUUACCCCCCCCCCCCCCCAACCACACCCUCCAAAGUGAAAAUACUCCAAUUAACGGUUGCAAAUAUGUACUGGGAUAGGGUAGGUUUCAGAAUUGAGAGUGGUUGCAGAAGUAAUGUCUGGCUGUAUAUGGCAUGUUUGGACCCUGGUUCAGCCAGCUCAGAAUGCCUGGUUAAAGGUGGAACAUGGAAUAAUAUAUAGCCCUACCUCCCAUUGGCCUGGGGUUGUUUCUAUCCCAAAACUCCUACACAACAAACCACAACUUAAAAUUGUCUUGUAACUAAUUAACUUGAAUGGUGCUUCAACCAAUAACAGCCAAUUAAUAGACUGGGUAUAUACUUAGGGAUCUCCCAUUAAACCAUAUGCAAAAAAGGGAAAUGCCCAGUGAUAAUCAGUCAAGCACAGUUGGUCAGUAGUAUCCACAGGGAUUUCUUCCAAGCCCCCUACUCUGUCUUCC
rnacentral:lncRNA from 1 species